CGACCGCAUCACAUUGAACCUCCGGUUCCCGUACGAUCAUCGAAGUUAAGCAACCUGGUCUGUACCUAGAUGGGUGACCGCUAGGAAAUCGCUGGUGCUGUAAG